UCUGGUGUCAGCCGCCGCGGUAAAACCAGCACCUCAAGUGGUCAGGAUGAUUAUUGGGCCUAAAGCAUCCGUAGCCUGCUUUGUUAGUUUUCGGUUAAAUCCAUACGCUCAACGUAUGGGCUGCCGGGAAUACUGCAAAGCUAGGGAGUGGGAGAGGUAGACGGUACUCGGUAGGAAGGGGUAAAAUCCUUUGAUCUAUUGAUGACCACCUGUGGCGAAGGCGGUCCACCAGAACACGUCCGACGGUGAGGGAUGAAAGCUGGGGGAGCAAACCGGAUUAGAUACCCGGGUAGUCCCAGCUGUAAACUAUGCAAACUCGGUGAUGCAUUGGCUUGAUGCCAAUGCAGUGCCGCAGGGAAGCCGUUAAGUUUGCCGCCUGGGAAGUACGUACGCAAGUAUGAAACUUAAAG
rnacentral:rRNA from 2 species